GACGGAGAGUUUGAUCCUGGCUCAGGGUUAACGCUGGCGGUGCGCAUAACACAUGCAAGUCGAGCGAGGGCUCAUUUCCCGCAAGGGAGAUGUGUUCCUAGCGGCGAACGGGUGAGUAACACGUGGGCAACCUUUCCUAUCGCGGGGGAUAACAGCGGGAAACCGCUGCUAAUACCGCAUGUCGUCACCGGUCGCAUGGCUGGUGAAGAAAGCAGCAAUGCACGAUGGGGUGGGCCCGCGGCCUAUCAGCUAGUCGGUGGGGUAACGGCCUACCGAGGCGAUGACGGGUAGCUGGUCUGAGAGGACGACCAGCCACACGGGGACUGAGACACGGCCCCGACUCCUACGGGAGGCAGCA
rnacentral:rRNA from 1 species